rnacentral:rRNA from 1 species
GUUACCUGUGAAAUGAAUCUAAGUUCUCCCUUAAUCUUCCCUACCGGACAACACCCAGAACCACAAUGAGAUGAUUAAGAGCUAUUUAAUGGAGGUACAGCUCCAUUAAAAAAGGACACAACCUCGACUAGUGGAUAAAUCUAAUCACCAACCUUACUGUGGGCCUUAAAGCAGCCAUCAACAAAGAGUGCGUCAAAGCUCCACACUCAAAAAUGCCAAAACAAGAUGAAUCCCUUACCACAAACAGGUUAACCUAUGAAUAUAGGAGAAUUAAUGCUAAAAUGAGUAACUUGGGGCCACACCCACCCCUCUAGCGGCGCAAGCUUACAUGAGAACAUUAUUAACAGACCCAGACAUAUACAAAAACUCCUACAAGACCAGGUAUAAACUCACCCUGUUAACCCGACUCAGGAGCGCCCAUAAGAGAGAUUAAAAUCUGUGAAAGGAACUCGGCAAAACAAGGCCCGACUGUUUACCAAAAACAUAGCCUUCAGCAAACAAACAAGUAUUGAAGGUGAUGCCUGCCCAGUGACCUAGGUUAAACGGCCGCGGUAUCCUA